GGGGGCCUACGGGGGGCAGCAGUGGGGAAUAUCGGGCAAUGGGCGCAAGCCUGACCCAGCAACGCCGCGUGAAGGAAGAAGGCUCUCGGGUUGUAAACUUCUUUUAUCAGGGACGAAGCAAGUGACGGUACCUGAUGAAUAAGCCACGGCUAACUACGUGCCAGCAGCCGCGGUAAUACGUAGGUGGUAAGCGUUAUCCGGAUUUACUGGGUGUAAAGGGCGUGUAGGCGGGAAAGCAAGUCAGAUGUGAAAACCAUGGGCUCAACCUGUGGCCUGCAUUUGAAACUGUUUUUCUUGAGUACUGG
rnacentral:rRNA from 1 species